rnacentral:rRNA from 1 species
UACAGAGGGGGCAAGCGUUAUUCGGAAUUAUUGGGCGUAAAGGGCGCGUAGGCGGCCUGGCAAGUGGAAGGUGAAAUCCCUCGGCUUAACCGAGGAACUGCCCUCCAAACUGCUUGGCUUGAGUCCGGGAGAGGUGAGUGGAAUUCCCAGUGUAGCGGUGAAAUGCGUAGAUAUUGGGAGGAACACCAGUGGCGAAGGCGGCUCACUGGACCGGAACUGACGCUGAGGCGCGAAGGCUAGGGUAGCAAACAGG